UAAUAAAAAUAGAAAAGGAGCUAGACGGCAAUCCAGCUCCAAUGCAGAACCGUUAAAAAGACGGUGGCUCGUAAUACAGAUUUAAUC
rnacentral:sRNA from 1 species